UACGUAGGUGGCAAGCGUUGUCCGGAAUUAUUGGGCGUAAAGCGCGCGCAGGUGGUUUCUUAAGUCUGAUGUGAAAGCCCACGGCUCAACCGUGGAGGGUCAUUGGAAACUGGGGAACUUGAGUGCAGAAGAGGAAAGUGGAAUUCCAAGUGUAGCGGUGAAAUGCGUAGAGAUUUGGAGGAACACCAGUGGCGAAGGCGACUUUCUGGUCUGUAACUGACACUGAGGCGCGAAAGCGUGGGAGCGAACGAG
rnacentral:rRNA from 1 species